AGCUGUGUGAGGAAAGAGUGGCUCCUGGUGAGGGCAGCAGGAGCAAAGCCCUGACGCAGGAAUGUGGGGGGGCACAGAAAAGAUAUCAGUCUGUGGCUCGGCAAGGGGACCAGGCCAGAUACGUGGGGCCCUGCAGGCCACAGUAAAGAAUUUGACUUUGUUCUGAGUGAAUUUCGGAGCCACUAGAAAGUUUUGAGGAGAGCAGUGACGUGACCUUCAUGCCUCCGGGGUGAAGAGUAUAAGGAGGGAAGCUGCCAAGGAGCCUAGAUUUUGUCUCAGAUGAGACCCCUGUCUUAGGGAGAGAGGCACAGCAACUCCCCUCUCCAUCCAUGAGUUGAAGCAUUGAAUGAGGUGGAACAUGCUGGAGAAGGCCACGGUGGAUUGGAAACAGUAAACUGGUCCCUCAUCACAGAGAGUAGGAGCAGCUCUGCUGGACCCACGUUAUCCCUUUAAAACUCACAACAACUUUUUGC